UCCUACGGGACGCAGCAGUGAGGAAUAUUGGUCAAUGGGCGGGAGCCUGAACCAGCCAAGCCGCGUGAGGGAAGAAGGUACAGCGUAUCGUAAACCUCUUUUGUCAGGGAACAAAGGCGGGGACUAGUCCCCGGAUGAGGGUACCUGAAGAAAAAGCAUCGGCUAACUCCGUGCCAGCAGCCGCGGUAAUACGGAGGAUGCGAGCGUUAUCCGGAUUUAUUGGGUUUAAAGGGUGCGCAGGCGGCCUGUUAAGUCAGCGGUAAAAGCCCGGGGCUCAACCCCGGCGAACCGUUGAAACUGGCGGG
rnacentral:rRNA from 1 species